rnacentral:pre_miRNA from 3 species
AGAUAGGUGUUUGGAAUGCAGUUUGAUCCAAGAUCUGCCUAUAUAUAUGGUGUGUAUAUCAUAUCUUGUGAUAUGGGGGAUAUGCAACAGGUGUGUGACAGGGGUAGGUAGAUCUCGGAUCAGGCUUCAUUCCUCACACCAAUAC